GGUGUAUAGCUUAGUGGUAGAGUGCAUGCUUUGUGUGAAUGACGUCCUGGGUUCAAAUCCCAGCUGCUCCC
rnacentral:tRNA from 1 species